rnacentral:rRNA from 1 species
UACCCGCGGUCCAAGUCGCAGCCAUCAUUAUUGGGUCUAAAACAUCCGUAGCUUGCUUAAUAAGUUUCUUGUGAAAUUCUAUAUCUCAAAUAUAGAGCGGGCAAGAAGUACUGUUAAGCUAGAGACUGGAAGACGUAAGAAGUACGUUUGGAGUAGCGGUAAAAUGUGUUAAUCCCAGACGGACUAACAACAGCGAAGGCAUCUUACGAGGACAGUUCUGACAGUAAGGGAUGAAGGCUAGGGGCGCAAAACGGAUUAGAUACCCGUGUAGUCCUAGCAGUAAACACUGCACACUAAACAUUAGUACCUCCUCGAGAGGUGUUAGUGCUGAAGAGAAGUCGAAGAGUGUGCUACCUGGGAAGUAUAGUCGCAAGGCUGAAACUUAAAGGAAUUGGCGGGGAGACACUACAACGGGUGACGCGUGCGGUUCAAUUAGAUUCUACACCGUGAACCUCACCAGGAGCGACAGCAGAAUGAAGGUCAGUCUAAAGGGCUUACCUGACACGCUGAGAGGAGUUGCAUGGCCGACGUCAGCCUGUGCCGUGAGGUGACCUGUUAAAUCAGGUAACAGGCAAGACCCGCAUACAUAUUUACUUUGUGUACAAUAUGUAGAUUGCCUUGGUAACGAGGAUGAAAGUGCGGGCUACGUUAGGUGAGUACAGCCUGAAUCCCCUGGGCAACACGCGCGCGUCAACGGUAGAUACAACGAGAUGCAACGCCGAAAGGCGAAGCUAAUCCCUUAAAGUCUAUCUCAGUCUAGAUCGAGGUUUGAAACUCAGCCUCGUGACACUGGAAUCCAUAGUAAUCGUUUGUUAUCAGCGA